GACAGAGGGUGCAAACGUUGCUCGGAAUCAUUGGGCGUAAAGCGCACGUAGGCGGCGCGUUAAGUCGGGUGUGAAAGCCCUGGGCUCAACCCAGGAAGUGCAUUCGAAACUGGCGCGCUUGAAUAUGGAAGAGGGUCGCGGAAUUCCCGGUGUAGAGGUGAAAUUCGUAGAUAUCGGGAGGAACACCAGUGGCGAAGGCGGCGACCUGGGCCAAUAUUGACGCUGAGGUGCGAAAGCGUGGGGAGCAAACAGG
rnacentral:rRNA from 1 species